rnacentral:rRNA from 1 species
UACGAAGGGGGCUAGCGUUGCUCGGAAUCACUGGGCGUAAAGCGCACGUAGGCGGCUUCUUAAGUCAGGGGUGAAAGCCUGGAGCUCAACUCCAGAACUGCCUUUGAUACUGAGAAGCUUGAGUCCGGGAGAGGUGAGUGGAACUGCGAGUGUAGAGGUGAAAUUCGUAGAUAUUCGCAAGAACACCAGUGGCGAAGGCGGCUCACUGGCCCGGUACUGACGCUGAGGUGCGAAAGCAAGGGGAGCAAACAGG